UACAGGGGGUGCAAACGUUGCUCGGAAUCAUUGGGCGUAAAGCGCACGUAGGCGGUCUGUUAUGUCGGAUGUGAAAGCCCUUGGCUCAACUGAGGAAGUGCAUCCGAAACUGGCAGGCUAGAGUACUAAAGAGGGUCGCGGAAUUCCCGGUGUAGAGGUGAAAUUCGUAGAUAUCGGGAGGAGCACCGGUGGCGAAGGCGGCGACCUGGGUAGAUACUGACGCUGAGGUGCGAAAGCGUGGGGAGCAAACAGG
rnacentral:rRNA from 1 species